UACGGAGGUGGCAAGCGUUGCUCGGAAUCACUGGGCGUAAAGGACGCGUAGGCGGGGAGGUAAGUCGGGUGUGAAAUCCCUCGGCCCAACCGAGGAACUGCGCCCGAGACUGCUUCUCUUGAGUCCCGGAGAGGAAGAUGGAAUUCCCGGUGUAGCGGUGAAAUGUGUAGAGAUCGGGAGGAACACCGGUGGCGAAGGCGGUCUUCUGGACGGUGACUGACGCUGAGGCGCGAAAGCGUGGGGAGCAAACGGG
rnacentral:rRNA from 1 species